AAAAAAAUAAGCUAAUCAAGCUUUCGGGUUCAUACCCCGACUAUAAAGGUACAAUCCUUUUUUUUUUA
rnacentral:tRNA from 1 species